AACGAACGCUGGCGGCAUGCCUAACACAUGCAAGUCGAACGAGACCUUCGGGUCUAGUGGCGCACGGGUGCGUAACGCGUGGGAACCUGCCCUUAGGUUCGGAAUAACUCCCCGAAAGGGGUGCUAAUACCGGAUAAUGUCUUCGGACCAAAGAUUUAUCGCCUUUGGAUGGGCCCGCGUUGGAUUAGCUAGUUGGUAGGGUACAAGCCUACCAAGGCGACGAUCCAUAGCUGGUCUGAGAGGAUGAUCAGCCACACUGGGACUGAGACACGGCCCAGACUCCUACGGGAGGCAGCAGUGGGGAAUAUUGGACAAUGGGCGAAAGCCUGAUCCAGCAAUGCCGCGUGAGUGAUGAAGGCCUUAGGGUUGGAAAGCUCUUUUACCCGGGAUGAGAAUGACAGUACCGGGAGAAUAAGCUCCGGCUAACUACGUG
rnacentral:rRNA from 1 species